rnacentral:rRNA from 1 species
AGUGAACGCUGGCGGUAGGCCUAACACAUGCAAGUCGAACGGCAGCACAGUAAGAGCUUGCUCUUACGGGUGCCGAUUGGUGGACGGGUGAUGAAUACAUCGGAAUCUACUUUUUCGUCGGGGAUAACGUAGGGAAUCUUGCGCUAAUACCCCAUACGACCUACGGGUGAAAGCAGGAGAUCUUCGUACCUUGUGUGAUUGAAUGAGCCCAUGUCGGAUUAGAUAGUUGGCGGGGUAAAGGCCCACCAAGGCGACGAUCCGUAGCUGGUGUGCGAGGAUGAUAAGCGACACUGGAACUGAGACACGGUCAAGGCUACUAAGGGAGGGAGCAGUGGGCAAUAGUGGACAACAGGAGCAAGUAUGAUACAGUCAUACCGAGUGGGUGAAGAAGGCGUUGGGGUUGUAAAGACGUUUUGUUGGGAAAGAAAAGCAGUAGGUUAAUACGAAGCUGUUGUGACGGUACCAAAAGAAUAAGCACCGGCUAACUUCGUG